rnacentral:tRNA from 1 species
GCUCGGGUAGCUCAGUUGGUUUAGAGCAUUCGCCUGAAGAGCGAAGGGUCGCCGGUUCGAGUCCGGCCCCGAGCA